AUUUUUUCUCCACAAACUUAUUUUCAAAUUGUCGCACCGCAAAACUGUCGAUUUGUCGAAAGUCCUAAACUGAAUUCGAUUAUCAAUUUUGAGUCACAUCUAACAGGCUGUGCCAACGUGGAUCUCGUCCUAGGUCGCUCAUGUGGUGCCAUUUCUAUCCUGCAACACAACAACAUCAACAACAACUUAACCCAAAGCUUUCUGCUUAAUCCCAAUUCAUCAUAUAAAAAAAAGUUCAUGCUCAACUCGCACGCUCUCUCAUUCCCCACAUCACAUUGUCGGCUGCAAAUGUGAUUAUCCAAAGAAUGAAAGAAAUAUCUUUUCGAUUAGUCCCCAACAUUCUAUUUGGAACACCACAAAAUUCAAUUACUCACUUUCGUUGAAGUUCAUG
rnacentral:lncRNA from 1 species